CUCUCUCUGAAGUGACGGGCAGCUGUCAGGUUUGAGGAUGGAUGAGUUACAGGAUGUGCAGUUGACUGAGAUCAAACCCCUCUUGACAAACAAGAAUGGACAGAACUUCCAGGACUUUGAUUGUCAGGAGCAUGACAUUGAGACUCCUCACGGUGUCCUUCAUGUGACUUUGAGAGGGACUCCUAAAGGCAACAGACCGGUCAUUCUCACCUAUCAUGACAUUGGACUCAACCGUAAGUUGUCCCAU